rnacentral:rRNA from 1 species
AUUGAACGCUGGCGGCAUGCCUUACACAUGCAAGUCGAACGGCAGCAUGGAGAGCUUGCUCUCUGAUGGCGAGUGGCGAACGGGUGAGUAAUGCAUCGGAACGUACCGUGUAAUGGGGGAUAACGAAGCGAAAGUUACGCUAAUACCGCAUACGACCUGAGGGUGAAAGCAGGGGAUCGCAAGACCUUGCGUUAUACGAGCGGCCGAUGUCAUAUUAGCUAGUUGGUGAGGUAAAGGCUCACCAAGGCGACGAUCUGUAGCGGGUCUGAGAGGAUGAUCCGCCACACUGGGACUGAGACACGGCCCAGACUCCUACGGGAGGCAGCAGUGGGGAAUUUUGGACAAUGGGGGCAACCCUGAUCCAGCCAUGCCGCGCGAGUGAAGAAGGCCUUCGGGUUGUAAAGCUCUUUCGGCCGGGAAGAAAUCGCACAGGCUAAUACUCUGUGUGGAUGACGGUACCGGCAUAAGAAGCACCGGCUAACUACGUGCCAGCCGCCGCAGUAA